UACAGAGGCCUCAAGCGUUGUUCGGAUUCAUUGGGCGUAAAGGGUGCGUAGGUGGUGGGGUAAGUCGGAUGUGAAAUCCCGGGGCUCAACCCCGGAACUGCAUUCGAUACUGCCUUGCUCGAGUACUGGAGAGGAGACUGGAAUUUACGGUGUAGCAGUGAAAUGCGUAGAUAUCGUAAGGAAGACCAGUGGCGAAGGCGAGUCUCUGGACAGUUACUGACACUGAGGCACGAAGGCCAGGGGAGCAAACGGG
rnacentral:rRNA from 1 species